rnacentral:RNase_P_RNA from 1 species
CAAGUAAGCCGGGUGAUCGCUCUCUUUUCAGCCCAAUGCGAAAGAGGGAGGAAAGUCCGAGCUCCACCGGGCAGGAUGCUGGGUAACGCCCAGGAGGGGUGACCCUACGGAAAGUGCCACAGAAACAUACCGGCCCGCCUAGUGCGGACUAAGGGUGAAAUGGUGAGGUAAGAGCUCACCAGCGGCCGGGUGACCGGUCGGCUGGGCAAACCCCAUCCGGAGCAAGACCGAAUAGGAGGAAGAGAAGGACGCCCGGCCUGUCCUCGGGUUGGUCGCUUGAGGUGGCGGGUAACUGUCACCCCAGACAGAUGGUCACCGCUUGAUCGAAAGCAGGACGAAGGCUAUAAGCGUAAACUACUUUCGAUCAAGUACAGAACUCGGCUUACAGGCUUGCUUGGCUA